rnacentral:rRNA from 1 species
CCUACGGGCGGCAGCAGUGAGGAAUAUUCGUCAAUGGGCGGGAGCCUGAACCAGCCAAGUCGCGUGAGGGAAGACGGUCCUAUGGAUUGUAAACCUCUUUAGACGGGGAGCAAUGCCGUGCACGUGUGCCCGGAGGGAGAGUACCCGCAGAAUAAGCAUCGGCUAACUCAGUGCCAGCAGCCGCGGUAAUACGGAGGAUGCGAGCGUUAUCCGGAUUUAUUGGGUUUAACGUGUGCGUAGGCGGGUUUUUAAGUCAGGGGUAAAAUGUCCGGGCUCAACCAGGGCCGGCCGUGGAAACUGGGGAUCUUGAGUGGGCGAGAAGUAUGCGGAAUGCGUGGUGUAGCGGUGAAAUGCAUAGAUA